AGACUCCUGGCGGCGCCGCCCUGAGCGCGCGGGCCACACGUAGCCGCCCCAGAGUGAGCGCAGAGCUGCGGCGUAUUCGCGGGGCACCAACUUCUCCCCCACGGGGACUCUUAACCGCCGUUGCGGGAAUCGAGCGCGUCCCACGGAGAACCCCUGAUCGCCCCUGCCAGGACUCACUCUGCCCAGGCGGACCCCAGGCGGGGGCCGAGGGCGCCCCCGGCGGCAGGGGCAUGCGCCGCCCGCGGCAUGGCCUCGGCGGUGUUUGAGGGCACGUCGCUCGUGAACAUGUUCGUGCGCGGUUGCUGGGUGAACGGGAUCCGCAGGCUCAUCGUCAGCAGGCGCGGCGAUGAGGAGGAGUUCUUCGAAAUCCGCACCGAGUGGUCGGACCGCAGCGUGCUCUACCUGCACCGCAGCUUCGCCGACCUGGGCCGCCUGUGCAAGCGCCUCCGCGAUGCCUUCCCCGAGGACCGGUCUGAGCUGGCGCGCACGCCGCUGCGGCAAGGACUGCUCGCCAUCAAGGGUGCACAUGACAUAGAGACCAGGCUCAAUGAGGUCGAGAAGCUGCUGGAGACGGUCAUCAGCAUGCCGUGUAAGUAUUCCAGGUCUGAGGUUGUUCUCACCUUCUUUGAAAGAUCGCCUUUGGAUCAGGUGUUAAAAAAUGAUAAUGUCCAUAAGAUCCAACCCAGCUUUCAAAGUCCUGUUAAAAUAUCAGAGGCUAAAGAAGGCACUGGAGCUCUCAGAACUGGAGUGGUAGACGGUUGUGAGCCACCAGGUGGGUGCUGGGAACUGAGUGUGGGUCUUCUGGAAGAACAUCAAGUAUUCUUAACUGCUGAGCGUAUCUUCAGCCCCAGGAAAGCAUUUCUGAGAAAUCAUGAGGUCCAAUGGAUUUUGUUUGGCAAACACAGAGACCAUAGUCAUUGACCACAGCAUACCCAACGGGAAGGACCAGCUCCUGGAUGCGGAUUCCACAGAGCAUUUGUUUGAGAAUGGUGGUGAGUUCACCUCAGAGCUGGAAGAUGGUGACGACCCAGAGGCUUAUGUCACCAACUUGUCCUAUUACCAUUUGGUUCCGUUUGAGACGGACAUUUUGGACUGAGCCUCUCCAUCGGGCCUUCUCUGCCUCCAACCUCGACUGCAUGUCCUCAUGCUGUCUACUGUGCUCCUCCAAGGGCCAAAGCUACUGCUCAGCCUGGACCUCCUAGGGUCCUGAGGUUCAGCAGGCCUGGGUAUUUAGAAAGCAGAGGCACACGGGAUCCCGAUGACCAUAGGCAGCACCGAGGGGCCUUCUUCCUGCUCUCAGCCCCUCCAGCCCGCCUCUUCUGGGAUGCCAGGCCAUGCUUCUUCUUGUCUCACUGCCGACUUAGGGAACAUUCCUCUUGGUCACAUGGCCCUGACUCCCCACUUUUCUCUUGUGUGUCAAAGGCACACACAAAGUAUUUCAAGAGGAUUUUUGCUAAGUUACCAAGUUCUGGACCUCGUGGACGGGGGAUAUUAAGUGAUUCAGGACCUCCCUAAGAAGGAUGUGUGGCUCUUUUUUUUUUCUUUACAUCUGCUCCCUGGAAUCUGGGUUUGGGAUGAGCCGGAAGGAGCGUUUACACAACAUCAAGCCUGGAGAAGAUUGCUAGCUUCGGCGAGGGGAAAGCAUUCAUGGUCCUGUGCAUAUGAACCUGAUAUAAAGUUUUCUUCCAGGGAAGAGAGCGUCCUCCUCACUGCCAGCACCUGUCAGCUCUUCUGCCAGGCGGUGAUGCGGUCACCACUGCCUAGGGUGCUCGAAGUCCUUCCCCUGCUGACCUCAAUGGCACAAGUGCCAGGAUGGAUCAGAAAGGAAGGGAUGGGAAGGAAGGAAGGGAUGCUUACAGCUUAGACCACAGAAGGUCUGGGUCCUGCAAGCUCAUGUCCUCACUGUGUCUACUAACGACCAGCACUUGCUAAUGUAAAUAAUAGUAAAUUAUUGAGAAUUCUAAUUCUUUUACACAGUCUGUUUUUAAUCUAUUUUAAUUAAAUAAAAAUCUAUUGUUCUACUUUGA